CAGAACUUAGUUGACUGCUGACCAGGGAGUCUUGAAUAUUUGUUCACAGUGGCUAAGUUCGUCA
ensembl:miRNA